UACGAAGGGGCUAGCGUUGCUCGGAAUCACUGGGCGUAAAGGGUGCGUAGGCGGGUCUUUAAGUCAGGGUGAAAUCCUGGAGCUCAACUCCAGAACUGCCUUUGAUACUGAGGAUCGUUGAGUUCGGGAGAGGUGAGUGGAACUGCGAGUGUAGAGGUGAAAUUCGUAGAUAUUCGCAAGAACACCAGUGGCGAAGGCGGCUCACUGGCCCGGUACGUGACGCUGAGGUGGCGAAAGCGAUGGGGAGCAAACUAGGGAUUAAGAAAC
rnacentral:rRNA from 1 species